rnacentral:rRNA from 1 species
CGUCAGUAGCGGCGAGUGAGCGGCAAAAGCUCAAAUUUGAAAUCUGGCGUCUUUGGCGUCCGAGUUGUAAUUUGAAGAAGGUAUCUUUGGGCCCGGCUCUUGUCUAUGUUCCUUGGAACAGGACGUCACAGAGGGUGAGAAUCCCGUGCGAUGAGAUGACCCGGGUCUGUGUAAAGUUCCUUCGACGAGUCGAGUUGUUUGGGAAUGCAGCUCUAAGUGGGUGGUAAAUUCCAUCUAAAGCUAAAUAUUGGCGAGAGACCGAUAGCGAACAAGUACAGUGAUGGAAAGAUGAAAAGAACUUUGAAAAGAGAGUGAAAAAGUACGUGAAAUUGUUGAAAGGGAAGGGCUUGAGAUCAGACUUGGUAUUUUGCAUGUUGCUCUCUCGGGGGCGGCCGCUGCGGUUUACCGGGCCAGCAUCGGUUUGGAGCGGCAGGAUAAUGGCGGAGGAAUGUGGCACGGCUUCUGCUGUGUGUUAUAGCCUCUGACGAUACUGCCAGCCUAGACCGAGGACUGCGGUUUUUACCUAGGAUGUUGGCAUAAUGAUCUUAAGUCGCCCGUCUGAACCGGGACCACAA